rnacentral:rRNA from 1 species
UAAUAUGAGAGUUUGAUCCUGGCUCAGGACGAACGCUGGCGGCAUGCCUAAUACAUGCAAGUCGAACGAACUUUCCUAUUNAUUGAUGCUUGCAUCAUGAUUUAGAUCNNAGUGAGUGGCGGACGGGUGAGUAACACGUGGGUAACCUGCCCAGAAGUGGGGGAUAACAUUUGGAAACAAGUGCUAAUACCGCAUAACAACAUUAAACACAUNUUNNNNGUUUAAAAGAUGNNNUUGCUAUCUCUUCUGGAUGGACCCNCGGCGUAUUAGCUAGUUGGUGAGNNAAUAGCUCACCAAGGCGAUGAUACGUAGCCGACCUGAGAGGGNAAUCGGCCACANNGGGACUGAGACACGGCCNNAACUCCUACGGGAGGCAGCAGNAGGGAAUCNNCCACAAUGGACGAAAGUCUGAUGGAGCAAUGCCGCGUGAGUGAAGAAGGUUNNCGGAUCGUAAAACUCUGUUGUUGAAGAAGAACANAUGUGAGAGUAACUGUUCACGUACUGACGGUANNCAACCAGAAAGCCAACGUCAAAUCAUCAUGCCCCUUAUGACCUGGGCUACACACGUGCUACAAUGGUCGGUACAACGUGUUGCGAACUCGCGAGGGCAAGCAAAUCACNNNAAACCGAUCUCAGUUCGGAUUGC